rnacentral:rRNA from 1 species
ACGGGAGGCAGCAGUGAGGAAUAUUGGUCAAUGGACGAGAGUCUGAACCAGCCAAGUAGCGUGCAGGAUGACGGCCCUAUGGGUUGUAAACCGCUUUUGUACGGGAAUAAAGUGACCUACGUGUAGGUUUUUGCAUGUACCGUAAGAAUAAGGACCGGCUAAUUCCGUGCAGCAGCCGCGGUAAUACGGAAGGUCCGGGCGUUAUCCGGAUUUAUUGGGUUUAAAGGGAGCGUAGGCCGUGCUUUAAGCGUGUUGUGAAAUGUAGGCGCCCAACGUCUGCACUGCAGCGCGAACUGGAGCACUUGAGUACGCAGGAAGUAGGCGGAAUUCGUCGUGUAGCGGUGAAAUGCUUAGAUAUGACGAAGAACUCCGAUUGGGAAGCCGGCUUACUGUAGCGCCACUGACGCUGAUGCUCGAAAGCGUGGGUAUCGAACAGGAUUAGAUACCCUGGUA